GGUCUCACUCUGUGUCUCAGGCUGGAGUACAGUGGUGCAAUUGUAGAUGGCUGCAGCCCUCGACCUCCUGGGCUCAAGUGAUCCUCCUGCCUUAGCCUCUCGAGUAGCUGGGAGUACAGAUGCACACCACCACACCCAGCCUAGAAUGAAGAAACCUGCAGUUGGGAAGCAUGAAUUUACCACCUAUUAAGGCACUGGUUUACUGAGACAAUUCAAAACACACAUUCAUUUUGUGUGCUUAUGAAAUAUAUCCCAAGAUCCCCUUUUAUUUUUCAGAAUUGUGGCUUGCAUUGUAAGAGGAGCCUGUGAAUUCAGAGGCAAGUCUGCUGAGGACCGAAUGUUCCUGUCCAUAAAAACAGAAGUCUGGCCUGGGCUCCUCUCUUGGGUGAAUUUGCAAUGCCAGAUCCUCUCUAUCAGUUUGGUUUUGUUUCUUGUAUCUCUGGGAAGGCAGGCAGACAGCACGGUCACCUGUGAAUGCAGCUACAAUUGGCUUAGCUGCCUCACUGAUAAAUGUGCCCCCAGUAAGCUACAAAGGGAUUACCAGCGUUCUCAGCAGCUAAAGGAACUGGUGAAGAUUUCCCCAGCAAAAAGUAGAAGCUCAGUGUUUCAUAGAUGAAGACUGGGGAGAUUGCAAAAGACCCAUCCAGGUACUGAUGCGGUCUUCUGGGACCAGGAACCCUACUCAUGCCUCAAGCUACCUGUGAUGAAAAGUCCAUUGUCUGCCACCUGUCUGGUAGAUCUGUCCUGAGGAUUAAUGAGAUAAUGUCUGGAGAGCCAUGUGAAGCCUUUGGAAGGAGAUUACAGAUAAAAGUCUAGUUCCAGUGAAUUAGGCUACUGAUAAGAGUACUGAAUAACAAAGCUGUGAUCAGGCUUUUAAAACGUUAUUUUGUUGAUAUUUGGUUACAGCUACUUUUAGACACUGAACUAGCCAGUGGAACAAGUUCUUUCUGAGGUCCCUGAACUUUAAACAGUCACUCUAGAACAGUCUUUCUCAAAGUCUCAACCCGAGGAGAAUUGUCUAUAUCACCAGUGUGUUUGUUAAAAAUAUAAUUUCCUGGCCUUCAACUUCAGAACUACAAAUUUGCAAAACUUCAGGAA
ensembl:lncRNA LINC00466 long intergenic non-protein coding RNA 466